rnacentral:rRNA from 1 species
ANCCGGUUCUCGUCCGAUCACCGAAGUUAAUCAACGUCGAGCCCGGUUAGUACUUGGAUGGGAGACCGCCUGGGAAUACCGGGUGCUGUAGGAU